rnacentral:lncRNA from 1 species
UGGGUUCGGGUUGGAAUUUAGGUAGUGGUCUUCUCUCGUAUGUUUGUAAAUAUGGACAAAGAGGUUGAUCUUCUUCUUUAUUUGUGCAUUUACAUGAAAAACAGAGAGGUUUUUUUUUGUUUUUUGGUUUUGUUUUUUUAAUCAAACCCUUGAAAGGUUUGGAUCUAUGGCAUCGUGAGCGGAAGCAAAGCGAUAGCAAGAUGAUGAGGGCCUGGACGAUGACGCGAUUGAGAUGAUGAAGAAAUUUGGGGAGUAGGACAUAAGAGUUGGGGAUGGCGGUAGGGCCUGGAACACGAGUUUAUUUUUUAAUUGUUAAUUUUUUUAAUAUAUAUUUUUAAAUUCUUAUCGUGUGAAACGGACCAUGUUGUGUGAUUCGUGAAUUGUAACGGGUUGUGUUCAUGUUUGACAUUUUCAACCCGUUUUCUUAUCGUGUCGUGUCGUGUCGUAUUAACCCGUUAACACGAAAACGACACACACUGCAAAAACGACAUGAAUGCCAGCAUUUAAAUAUCAGCACAGUGGCCUGAAGUGGCCCCAUUUUGUUCAUUUGCACUCCUCACCCUGUUUUUUAUGUUAACAAGAAUUGCACUCAGAAGGCCAAAAAUAUCAUUGCCAUCUUUCUUUUAGCUUUUGCACACCUCCUCCCUCCCACUUGUAAUCUCCAUAAUCACGUUUUAAACAAGUGUGGACGAGGAUUUAAAUUCUAGCUACCUUUCAAGAUUUAGGACAAACAACUGUAUACUAUUCUCUCAGCAGAGUAGGCAAAAGUUGGGGUUGUUGAAAGGAAAAAAUAUUGGAAGACCAGCUAGCCAAGGAAAAUAAGGAGCCAGACAAGCCAAAAGCCAAACAAAAGGUCAGCAAAUCAAGUAAGGCGAAAACUAAUCCGCAGAGGGAGGCUGCAGUGAAUUGGAAUAGCUUGGAUCUAAGGAAAGACAGAAAUAACAACUCCAUCCUUAUGCCAUGAAACCAAUCCACUGGCUGCAAUAUCAAGACUAACGAAAGUAAACAAACUUACGAAAUUUUUUCGAAUCGUUUUGUACAAUUCUGUGAAUGACUUGGGGCGAACAAAGGAAUUAGAACUACAGUGCAGAAUCCACCAAAAAUAAGAACAGCUCCAGCAAGGAACUGAGGCAGCCUAU